GCCUCGGUAGCUCAGCAGGUAGAGCAACUGACUGUUAAUCAGUGGGUCGGAAGUUCGAGUCUUCCCCGAGGCG
rnacentral:tRNA from 1 species